CUAUUGCUAUUUUAAAUGUAGUAUAGUGUAAUUAUGUAACUAUACAGUUUUGUUAUCUUUCAGGUUGAAGAUGUUAUGUGCUAUGAAAGUACGCAGUGUACUGUAGUUGGUCAAGAGUCUUCAUGUACUAGAUAUUCUCAUUAUAAAUUAUAUAAAAUUGGUUUAAAAACAGUGCAGAUCAAGCAAGAAAAGGAAGUCCUGUGGAUAAAAGCUAUAUUUAGUUCACAUAUCGUUAUUAAAUAUGGCAAUGAAGGUAAUUUAUCUAGUUUCAUUUUGAAAAUAUCUCUUGAACAAGACAAAAUGCAAAUUUGCUACAAUUUUGUGAUUCCAUUUUCAUCACUUCUUCUUAAUGAAUUCCACCAUUCAAGUAUGUUUCUCAGAAAUAGGGAUAGGAGAAAAAAGAACAAAAGCAUGAGGCAUCACAGUCUGGUACAGGAAUUCAAAACUAGCUCAUGAAGAGAGGGAAUACUUGGAUGAAAAAAUAGAUAAGUUUUUUUUUUUUUUUUCCCUUUCUUCUUCUGAACAGGACGUUGUGUUAAGUAAAUUAGGUGGACUAGAAUUAACUGAUACAAAAUGUCACAAAAGCAAAAGGAAAUCUCGUUAAAAGAUAAAACCUAAAUCUUUAAAGAAUUUGAUGAGAAUAAUGGUUCAACAAAAGUUUAGUUAGCAAAGAAAAUAGGCAUUCCUAUGACAACACUAAAAACAGUUCUUUAUGAGAGGGAAAAAAGGUUGAAGAAAGAGCAGAAAUUGUGAGAGUCCACUUUCAAAGAAAUUGCAUGUUCAAGAUGAAAAGCUUUCUGAGAUCACAGCCAUUUUGCUAAAACUUUUCCUUUAGUGUCAGUCCAAUAUUGCAGUGAAUGCCUCAUAUUAAGUCAAAAGAAAGAGCACUUUGAUUAAAUGUGAAGGAAGUUUGCUUUUCAACUGGAUGCAUAAAUUUAAACUGUGGCAUAUAAUCUCAGAUCAUGUAAUAAACGGAGAAUCAAAAAACAUUCCUGCUGAGUCAGUUGAAGAGUGGUUCGAGAACUUAUCUGCCAAAACAGUUGAAUAUGUAUUAAAAGAUAUUUUACAAUGCUGAUGAAAGUGUUCAUUUCUUUAAACUUAAAUGCCUGCUUUUUUACAGCUUGCAAAGGUGACCAUGGAACUAAGAAUGAGUUUGAAGGAGAUGUAAAGGUCUUUUGUUUUACCUUAUGCAGAUGCUGAUGGUAUGGAAAACAUGACUCCUGAAAUGAAAUGAUGAGUUCUUUUUCCUCCUUUGUAAUGAAAAAAUGACAAAAGUCACAAAAACAGGGUGCUUCAAGCAUGUUAAAGCUCUGCUAUUAGAAUAUAAAGAAAAUGAGGAAGCAUGGAUGACUACAGAUGUUUUUACAGAAUGGCUCAAGAAAAUAGGAAAAGCAUAAAAGUGUACCUUUUAUGGAUCAGUUUACCGCCCAUCCUGAAACAACAGAUUUCUUCCUAAAUGUGAAAGUUAUUUUCUGCUGGGCAAAUUAUAGUAGUGUUUAGAUCAUGUGUCAUUAAGAAUUUGAAAGUUUUUUGCAGUCAAAUAUUGAUUCAAAUAGUCCUUCAAAAUAUAACUAUAGGAAUUGCUACGAAUAUGAUUUCACUUGCCUGGACUUGAGCAAAAUUACAAAUAAUUAAAAAUUUUUUUAUUAAAGAGGGAUUUUCGAAAUCAGAGUCAAGUGAAAGUGUUGACUAUGAAAAUGAUAAUGAAACUGGAAUUAUGGAUGAAGAAAAUUAGAAAUUAUGGGUUUAGAAAUUACAAUCGAAGAACAUGUUAACUGUGAUGGUAGUGUAAUGAUGUAUCUUUACAUAAUUAAAAAACUAAUUAAAACCAUUUUACAAGAUGAACAUUUAAGUAGCAGGGAUGAAGAAGAAAAUGAAGAAAUAAUCCCCUUCUUUUUAAAAUGCUAUCUAUUCAUUUGCACCCUCAGAAAUUUCUUUGUGUGUAAUUAUACAAAUAAGGAAACAUUUCAAGAACUUAAUUCAAUUCAUAACACUUUGUGUAAAAUUCAGAAUCAAAAGAAACAUCAAGUGAUAAUUUAAGGCCUUUUUCUUUAAAAAAUGUUACUUGUUCAGGGUGGUAAUUUAAAUAAAGGAUAUUUUUUAUCUGCCAUGUUUUAAGUAUCCUAAUUAUUUAACUGAUCGUCUGAAUAUCCAGAUGGCAGUGUACUACAAAAGUAGUAGUGGAAGCUUUGAGAUACUCAUUUUAAAACAAGGUGUGCAGAUAUUCUUGGCAAAAACCUCGAGUAAUGAUUAACUGCAGCAGAAAACACUUUAAAAGUUGUGAAAAUUACUCUAUUAAUAAGAGAUGACCCAUAAUGUAAUGCUGUAGUGCAUUCUUCUAGCUUCAUAUUCCAAGCAGACUAAUUGUCCAUGUGUUUGCUGUAAACUGUGUCCUCAAUGGGAAAAAAGGAUCUUAACAUUUCAGA
rnacentral:misc_RNA from 1 species